rnacentral:rRNA from 1 species
CCUACGGGUGGCAGCAGUGGGGAAUAUUGGACAAUGGGCGAAAGCCUGAUCCAGCAAUACCGCGUGAGUGAUGAAGGCCCUAUGGGUUGUAAAGCUCUUUUAUUGGGGAAGAUAAUGACGGUACCCAAUGAAUAAGCACCGACUAACUACGUGCCAGCAGUCGCGGUAAUACGUAGGGUGCUAGCGUUACUCGGAUUUACUGGGCGUAAAGCGCAUGUAGGUGGACAUGUAAGACAGAAGUGCAAUCCCCAAGCUCAACUUGGGAACUGCUUUUGUUACUGCUUGUCUUGAGUGCGGUAGAGGAUGAUGGAAUUUCUAGUGGAGGGGUAAAAUCCAUAGAUAUUAGAAGGAACACCGGAAGCGAAAGCGAUCAUCUGGGCCGUAACUGACAUUGAGAUGCGAAAGCGUGGGGAGCAAACAGGAUUAGAUACCCCGGUAGUCC